UCUUUGGGCUGAGUGACCUGUUUCCACACUGUAGGGGUUCUAUUAUAUGGAAUUCAUGGGGAUUUGUCUGCUUUUCAGUCUGGUGGAAUCUUCAAUACCUUCAGCUAUCAAUCUUAUCCACUAGUGUUUUCUCAUAUUGCAGCAUUUUCUCUUUGAUCACCUCAUUGCUUCAAUACCUCUUUGCUUCAGGUAUCAAUUUUGUUCAACAGCAUUUUCUCAAAUUUCAGCAUUUUCUCUUUGAUCUUCUCAUUGUUUUCUUGAGUCCCCCUUGCAUUUUAUAUACUACUGUACCACCUGCAUUGUUUUGCUGCCUUUGUGCCCGUUAUACAUCUCUCUCUCUUCCUUUUUAUAAAAUCUUGAAUAUUCCUAGAUAUCUAUAGUUCCCCGAGCUUGUUGCUCCUACAUUUCACUCUAAAAGGAACAAGUUGGGCCGAUACUCCUUGAAGCUGGAGGGCCAUUCAGGAGAAGAAAUGGGUUGCCAUUUAAGAAGAUGGGAUCCCUGGAUUGUCUGAAGCUGAGGCUGUGCAAAGAAAGCCUCUUAAUCUGUUUUGAAUAUCAGGACCUUCCUUUAAGGAUAUGGUGAGAGCCAUGUGACAAAGAGAUCAGCUUGGGGUGAGGCAGAGAAUUAAAACGACAGGACACCUGAAGUCAUGGAUCA